rnacentral:rRNA from 1 species
ACUGCUCAGUAACACGUAGUCAACCUGCCCUGGAGACCAGGAUAACCCCGGGAAACUGGGAUUAAUACUGGAUAGGUCAUCUCAUCUGGAAGGAGAGAUGGCUUAAAGGGGUGUGUGAGCUUCUUUCAUACAGCUGCUCCAGGAUGGGACUGCGACUGAUCAGGCUGUUGGCGGGGUAAUGGCCCACCAAACCAGUAACCAGUACGGGCCUUGAGAGAGGGGGCCCGGAGAUGGACACUGAGAGAAGGGUCCAGGUCCUACGGGGCGCAGCAGGCGCGAAACCUUCGCAAUGCGCGAAAGCGUGACGAGGUUAAUCCGAGUGGUUCCCGCUGAGGGAAUCUUUUGUCGGCUCUAAAAAGGCCGGCGAAUAAGGGGAGGGCAAGUCUGGUGUCAGCCGCCGCGGUAAUACCAGCUCCUCGAGUGGUCGGGGCGAUUAUUGGGCCUAAAGCAUCCGUAGCCGGUUCUGUAGGUCCUCUGUUAAAUCCAACGGCUUAACCGUUGGCCCGCAGAGGAUACCGCAGGACUAGGAGGCGGGAGAGGCAGGCGGUACUCUACGUGUAGGGGUAAAAUCCUUUGAUCCGUAGAAGACCACCAGUGGCGAAGGCGGCCUGCCAGAACGCGCUCGACGGUGAGGGAUGAAAGCUGGGGGAGCGAACCGGAUUAGAUACCCGGGUAGUCCCAGCCGUAAACGAUGCGAGCUAGAUGAUUCGAUCGCAAAUCGCGAUCGAAGUGUCGCAGGGAAGCCGUUAAGCUCGCCGCCUGGGGAGUACGGUCGCAAGACUGAAACUUAAAGGAAUUGGCGGGGGAGCAC